GCCUCGGUAGCUGAAGUCGGUAGAGCUGAGACUCUUAAUGUCAGGGCUGUGGGUUCAAGCCACAUGUUGGGCA